AGCAGCAUGGCGCAGUGGUAGCGCGCGGGGCCCAUAUGAGAUAUUUGACCCCGAGGUCACUCGAUCGAAACGAGUUGCUGCUA